UCGGCUGCCAUCCUUCUUUCCUCUGUCUUCUUGUCCCAUCCUUCUCUGCAUCCUGCUGGGUCUUAGCUAUCUGUGUGAAGGCUCACUUUGUCUGCACCAGGGGAGGAUCUAGAUCAGAUGGCUCAUAGAGAUUGAUCCUUUCCCUGUUGGCUGACAGACCCUUUCAGACUGCUGGGAAGGUUUGGUGGAACUGGGUUGGAACUGAAUGACUUUGUGCUGAGCCCUCAUCUUUUCUACCUCUUCCGUCCUCCCCUCUGCAUUCACACCUCAGGGUGUGUGGAGAUCCACCCCCACUGGAAGGGCCAGAUGUCAUCGUGCCUAUCCUCAAGGAUGAUGGAUCCUACCUGCUCUGUGGAUACUGGGCAGAUGAGCCUGAAGCACCAGCCCAGGUCUGGGCUGAGGCCUGGCAUGCAAAAACCCAGCAGCCCAUCUGCUGUGCUGAGGCUUUUUGGUUUGCUUUUUUCUGUUGAGGAAGACCUACUCACAGCAUCCUGAAAAUGCAUUGCAAAUGGAAAGAGAGCAAAUAUGUAUGCACUGAGGUGAGUACCGGCCAUGGGUGCCUGCACAUGAUGCUGGUGUGACACAGUGGCUGCAAGGACCCCCAGAGCGGCUUCUUCAAGUGAAACCCAUGCAAUGCCCAUGACAUUUCUACCAUGCAUUUAUUGUAAGCAAGUAAAAUAUUGUGUAAAAAUAUCACUGGGUCUGGAAUCUGGACAUUGGGGGCUGCUGUGAGUGAAGGAGCCACAACAUAGGGGUUACUUCUAUGGCAUUGUUACAAUAAAGUGGUGACUCUGUGAAGCUUUGCUCA
rnacentral:lncRNA from 1 species